AUCUAGUGCUGAGGGUAUUUAAUGCACAACUUCUUGAAUCGCUCUCAAUAAUCAUAUAGAGACUCCUCAGGGUGCUGUUUAAUGUCGCAUAUCUCCUUUCUUAGACU